GUUAGCGUAGCUUAAUGAAAAGCAUAGCACUGAAAAUGCUAAGACGGGCCCUAAUCAGCUCCGCAAACA
rnacentral:tRNA from 1 species